rnacentral:rRNA from 1 species
GAUGAACGCUGGCGGCGUGCCUAAUACAUGCAAGUCGAGCGAAUGGAUUAAGAGCUUGCUCUUAUGAAGUUAGCGGCGGACGGGUGAGUAACACGUGGGUAACCUGCCCAUAAGACUGGGAUAACUCCGGGAAACCGGGGCUAAUACCGGAUAACAUUCUGAACCGCAUGGUUCGAAAUUGAAAGGCGGCUUCGGCUGACACUUAUGGAUGGACCCGCGUCGCAUUAGCUAGUUGGUUAGGUAACGGCUCACCAAGGCAACGAUGCGUAGACGACCUGAGAGGGUGAUCGGCCACACUGGGACUGAGACACGGCCCAGACUCCUACGGGAGGCAGCAGUAGGGAAUCUUCCGCAAUGGACGAAAGUCUGACGGAGCAACGCCGCAUGAGUGAUGAAGGCUUUCGGGUCGUAAAACUCUGUUGUUAGGGAAGAACAAGUGCUAGUUGAAUAAGCUGGCACCUUGACGGUACCUAACCGGAAAGCCACGGCUAACUACGUGCCAGCCGCCGCGGUAA